CAUGGCGGCCGCGGGWAUUCGAUUGGAAACAGGAGCUAAUACCGCAUAGAUCCAAGAACCGCAUGGUUCUUGGCUGAAAGAUGGCGUAGGCUAUCGCUUUUGGAUGGACCCGCGGCGUAUUAGCUAGUUGGUGAGGUAACGGCUCACCAAGGCGAUGAUACGUAGCCGAACUGAGAGGUUGAUCGGCCACAUUGGGACUGAGACACGGCCCAAACUCCUACGGGAGGCAGCAGUAGGGAAUCUUCCACAAUGGACGCAAGUCUGAUGGAGCAACGCCGCGUGAGUGAAGAAGGCUUUCGGGUCGUAAAACUCUGUUGUUGGAGAAGAAUGGUCGGCAGAGUAACUGUUGCCGGCGUGACGGUAUCCAACCAGAAAGCCACGGCUAACUACGUGCCAGCAGCCGCGGUAAUACGAUAAUCACUAGUGAAUUCGCGGCCGCCUGCAGGUCGACCAUAU
rnacentral:rRNA from 2 species